rnacentral:rRNA from 1 species
GUUGUAUAGUCAAGUAAUUAAGUGCAUGUGGUGGAUGCCUUGGCAGUCAGAGGCGAUGAAAGACGUGAUAGCCUGCGAAAAGCUCCGGGGAGGCGGCAAAUAUCCUUUGAUCCGGAGAUGUCUGAAUGGGGGAACCCACCUACUUUAAGGUAGGUAUUGCAACAUGAAUACAUAGUGUUGCAAGGCGAACGAGGGGAAGUGAAACAUCUCAGUACCCUUAGGAAAAGAAAUCAAUUGAGAUUCCCUCAGUAGCGGCGAGCGAACGGGGAUCAGCCCAUUAAGUUAUGUGUGUUUUAGUGGAACGCUCUGGGAAGUGCGAACGUAGAGGGUGAUAUUCCCGUACACGAAAGGGCACACAUAAUGAUGACGAGUAGGGCGAGGCACGUGAAACCUUGUCUGAAUAUGGGGGGACCAUCCUCCAAGGCUAAAUACUCCUGACUGACCGAUAGUGAACCAGUACCGUGAGGGAAAGGCGAAAAGAACCCCUGUGAGGGGAGUGAAAUAGAUCCUGAAACCGCAUGCAUACAAGCAGUGGGAGCACCUUCGUGGUGUGACUGCGUACCUUUUGUAUAAUGGGUCAGCGACUUAUAUUCAGUAGCAAGGUUAACCGUAUAGGGGAGCCGUAGAGAAAUCGAGUCUUAAUAGGGCGUUUAGUUGCUGGGUAUAGACCCGAAACCAGGCGAUCUAUCCAUGAGCAGGUUGAAGGUUGGGUAACACUAACUGGAGGACCGAACCCACUGUCGUUGAAAAGCCAGGGGAUGACUUGUGGAUAGGGGUGAAAGGCUAAUCAAGCCUGGUGAUAGCUGGUUCUCCCCGAAAGCUAUUUAGGUAGCGCCUCGGACGAAUACCAUAGGGGGUAGAGCACUGUUUCGGCUAGGGGGUCAUCCCGACUUACCAAACCGAUGCAAACUCCGAAUACCUAUGAGUACUAUCCGGGAGACAGACUGCGGGUGCUAACGUCCGUAGUCAAGAGGAAAACAAUCCAGACCGCCAGCUAAGGCCCCAAAAUCAUAGUUAAGUGGGAAACGAUGUGGGAAGGCAUAGACAGCUAGGAGGUUGGCUUANNNNNNNNNNNNNNNNNNNNGAAGCAGCCACCCUUUAAAGAAAGCGUAAUAGCUCACUAGUCGAGUCGGCCUGCGCGGAAGAUGUAACGGGGCUAAAACUAUGUGCCGAAGCUGCGGAUUUGACAUUAGUCAAGUGGUAGGGGAGCGUUCUGUAAGCCGAUGAAGGUGUAUUGAGAAGUNNNNNNNNNNNNNNNNNNNNNAUGCUGGAGGUAUCAGAAGUGCGAAUGCUGACGUGAGUAACGACAAAACGGGUGAAAAACCCGUUCGCCGAAAGACCAAGGGUUCCAGUCCAACGUUAAUCGGGGCUGGGUGAGUCGACCCCUAAGGCGAGGCCGAAAGGCGUAGUCGAUGGGAAAAUGGUUAAUAUUCCAUUACUUCUGUGUAAUGCGAUGAGAGGACGGAGAAGGCUAAAUCAGCCUGGCGUUGGUUGUCCAGGUGAAAGGAUGUAGGCAUGUAUCUUAGGCAAAUCCGGGGUACUCUAUGCUGAGAUCUGAUAGCAAGCUGUACUUGUACAGCGAAGUGGUUGAUGCCAUGCUUCCAGGAAAAGUCUCUAAGCUUCAGUUACACAGGAAUCGUACCCGAAACCGACACAGGUGGUCAGGUCGAGUAGACCAAGGCGCUUGAGAGAACUCUGCUGAAGGAACUAGGCAAAAUGGUACCGUAACUUCGGGAGAAGGUACGCUGUUGUUGGUGAUGGAACUCGCUUCCUGAGCUGACGACAGCCGCAGAAACCAGGCCGCUGCAACUGUUUAUUAAAAACAUAGCACUCUGCAAACACGAAAGUGGACGUAUAGGGUGUGAUGCCUGCCCGGUGCUGGAAGGUUAAUUGAUGGGGUUAGCGUAAGCGAAGCUCUUGAUCGAAGCCCCAGUAAACGGCGGCCGUAACUAUAACGGUCCUAAGGUAGCGAAAUUCCUUGUCGGGUAAGUUCCGACCUGCACGAAUGGCAUAAUGAUGGCGGCGCUGUCUCCAGCAGAGGCUCAGUGAAAUCGAAAUCGCUGUGAAGAUGCAGUGUACCCGCGGCUAGACGGAAAGACCCCGUGAACCUUUACUGCAGCUUGACACUGAACUUUGACCUUACUUGUGUAGGAUAGGUGGGAGGCUUUGAAGCUGGAACGCUAGUUCCAGUGGAGCCGUCCUUGAAAUACCACCCUGGUAAUGUUGAGGUUCUAACUCUGUCCCGUGAUCCGGGACGAGGACCGUGUCUGGUGGGUAGUUUGACUGGGGCGGUCUCCUCCUAAAGAGUAACGGAGGAGUACGAAGGUGCGCUCAGCGUGGUCGGAAAUCACGCGUAGAGUAUAAAGGCAAAAGCGCGCUUAACUGCGAGACCCACAAGUCGAGCAGGUACGAAAGUAGGUCUUAGUGAUCCGGUGGUUCUGUAUGGAAGGGCCAUCGCUCAACGGAUAAAAGGUACUCUGGGGAUAACAGGCUGAUACCGCCCAAGAGUUCAUAUCGACGGCGGUGUUUGGCACCUCGAUGUCGGCUCAUCUCAUCCUGGGGCUGAAGCAGGUCCCAAGGGUAUGGCUGUUCGCCAUUUAAAGAGGUACGCGAGCUGGGUUUAGAACGUCGUGAGACAGUUCGGUCCCUAUCUACCGUGGGCGCUGGAAAUUUGAGAGGAUCUGCUCCUAGUACGAGAGGACCAGAGUGGACGAACCUCUGGUGUACCGGUUGUGACGCCAGUCGCAUCGCCGGGUAGCUAUGUUCGGAAGGGAUAACCGCUGAAAGCAUCUAAGCGGGAAGCCUACCUCAAGAUAAGAUUUCCCUAGGACUUUAUGUCCUCUAAAGAGCCGUUCGAGACUAGGACGUUGAUAGGUUGGAUGUGGAAGCAUAGUGAUAUGUGAAGCUGACCAAUACUAAUUGCUCGUGAGGCUUGACUAUACAACACCCAAGCAGUUG